rnacentral:lncRNA from 1 species
GGGGGGGGGGGCUAGGAUGAAAAAUUUUGUCCUGCAUUUUUUUUAGCUGUGAUCUCUGUUCUGCCUUUUUAUUUUUCACUCUAAUCGGUCCUGCCUUUUUUUUUUUUAGUUUAUCCUGACUUUUUUUUACCUAAAUUGUCGUCCUGACUUUUUUUUUUGCAAGUGUCACAUCCUGCCUUUUUUAUUUACUCAAAACUCCUGUCCUGCCUAUUUUUUUUCAAAUUUCAUCCUAGCCCCCCCAUAAAAAUCAAAUGGUAGCUCCUUU